rnacentral:rRNA from 1 species
AUGGAUUGGUGUCUUAUUCUACAGUUUUCAAAGGCUGUAGGGAAGAUCAAAGAUGCCAUCUCAGCCCUGGCAGUGGCAACAGUGGACGAUGAUAACGAUGAAGUCAUGGUGCGAAGCCCUCCUGAAGUUCCUCGAGACGGCUGCUCGGCGCUACAGGAUACCGUGGUGAGUCCUCUGACAGACCUGUGCACGCCCCAUAAAUUCAGUUUGCUGUGGCUUGGUUUUGUCAGGACGCAGACGACCAUCGACAUCCUGGGGCGGCAUGCAUAUGACAGCAUGGGGCGGUUCACGGCCCGGCAGCGGGAGGCGGUGGAGAAGUUGUGGAACUCGAUCAAGGAGCAGCAGAUCCAGCGCAAGCACGGCAAGUCGACGAGCGGGAAGCUGGACGUGAACGCCUUAGAGCGGCUCCAGGAGAAGUCUAUGCAAAAACGCAUGUUGUGUAUGUGCACACUUGUGUACAUCGGUAGCAACAGUACUGCAAUUGCUAUUUUUGCUUUCAAUAUGGCUGCUGCUGUUGCUUCUCAGUAUGGCUGCUGCUAUUGCUUCUCAAUAAUGCUGCUGUUGUUGCUUCUCACUACUGCAGCUGUUUCCCUACUGCUGCUCCUGUCAAAAUUGUUGCUGUUGUUGCUUCUUAGUACUGCUGUUGUUUCCCUACUGCUGCUGCUGCUCCUGUCAAAACUGCUGCUGCUUCCCUCCUGCUGUUCCAAAUUACUGCUACUGCUGUUUAAGUCAAAACUUAAGAGCCUUGUAGCUUUGCUCAACCCCUAA